UACAGAGGGUGCGAGCGUUGUCCGGAAUCACUGGGCGUAAAGGGCGCGUAGGUGGCGCUGCAAGUCGGUGGUGAAAGCUCGUCGCUUAACGACGAGUCGGCCAUCGAAACUGCAGGGCUGGAGCACUGUAGGGGCUAAUGGAAUUCCGGGUGUAGCGGUGGAAUGCGUAGAGAUCCGGAAGAACACCAGUGGCGAAGGCGGCCCGCUGGGCAGUGGCUGACGCUGAGGCGCGGACAGCGUGGGGAGCAAACGAGG
rnacentral:rRNA from 1 species